rnacentral:rRNA from 1 species
AGUGAACGCUGGCGGUAGGCCUAACACAUGCAAGUCGAACGGCAGCACAGUAAGAGCUUGCUCUUACGGGUGGCGAGUGGCGGACGGGUGAGGAAUACAUCGGAAUCUACUUUUUCGCGGGGGAUAACGUAGGGAAACUUACGCUAAUACCGCAUACGACCUACUGGUGAAAGCAGGGGAUCUUCGGACCUUGCGCGAUUGAAUGAGCCGAUGUCGGCUUAGCUAGUUGGCGGGGUAAAGGCCCACCAAGGCGACGAUCCGUAGCUGGUCUGAGAGGAUGAUCAGCCACACUGGAACUGAGACACGGUCCAGACUCCUACGGGAGGCAGCAGUGGGGAAUAUUGGACAAUGGGCGGAAGCCUGAUCCAGCCAUACCGCGUGGGUGAAGAAGGCCUUCGGGUUGUAGAGCCCUUUUGUUGGGAAAGAAAAGCAGCGGGUUAAUACCGCGCUGUUCUGACGGUACCCAAAGAAUAAGCACCGGCUAACUUCGUG